rnacentral:other from 1 species
CGUGCCCUGCGGUGUGCGUGUUUGGUCCGGAGUAGUUUUGAGCCAACACUCAAGACAAUGGAACCCACAUCCGGCCGCUGAGUGGUGACCCCCUUGGGGGUGGCACGGGGGCGGCAGGGAGGGUUCCCCCGUGGCUUCACGGGUUCAAAAACUUCAUGGGACCACACGGCAUUGCGGGGCAUAU